rnacentral:sRNA from 1 species
CCGGCCCGGUUUCCCUCGGCGUGUCACUGUGCGCUCAAUCCAGCACCAUGGGGAAGCGGGACAAUCGGGUGGCCUAUAUGAAUCCAAUAGCAAUGGCGAGAUCAAGGGGUCCAAUCCAGUCUUCAGGGCCAACAAUACAGGAUUAUCUGAAUCGACCAAGGCCUACCUGGGAAGAAGUAAAAGAGCAACUAGAAAAGAAAAAGAAAGGCUCCAAGGCUUUGGCUGAAUUUGAAGAAAAAAUGAAUGAGGUUUGUAAAAAGUACCUGUUAAAAAAAUAGACUAAUUUGGCAGGUUAUGGUGGCUCAUACCUAUAAUUCCAGCACUUUGGGAGGCCGAAACGGGAGGCCAGGAGUUCAAGACCAGCCUGGGCAACAAAAUAAGGCCCCCCGCGCCUUGUCUCCAUUA